rnacentral:misc_RNA from 1 species
GAUGAAGAACGUAGUGAAAUGCGAUAAGUAGUGUGAAUUGCAGAAUUCAGUGAAUCAUCGAAUCUUUGAACGCACAUUGCGCCCCUCGGUAUUCCGUGGGGCAUGCCUGUUCGAGCGUCAUUUAACCCCUCAAGCCUAGCUUGGUAUUGGGUGCUUGUCCCGCCUCUCGCGCGGCGACUCACCUCAAAGUCAUUGGCAGCCCGCAUCUCGCCGGCCGUGAGCGCAGCACAGACGCGCUCUUGGCAACGACGGAUCGGCUCUCCAAAAGCUUAUUUCAACCACUGACCUCGGAUCAGGUAGGGAUACCCGCUGAACUUAAGCAUAUCAAUAAGCGGAAGA